rnacentral:rRNA from 1 species
AGGGCGUAUGGGGAAUGCCUAGGCACACUCCGGCGAAGAAGGACGCAGCAAACAGCGAAAUGCGACGGUGAGCGGUAAGCACGUGAAGAGCCGUCGAUAUCCGAAUGGGGGAACCCACACGGAGUCAUAUCCGUGUAUCACAUGUCGAAUACAUAGACAUGAUGAGGCGAGACGCAGGGAACUGAAACAUCUAAGUACCUGCAGGAAGAGAAAAUAAGAAUGAUUUUCUGAGUAGCGGCGAGCGAAAGGGAAAGAGCCCAAACCGAUUUUAGGAUCGGGGUAGUAGGAUCAUCGAGGAAUCUGACAGAGGAUCAUAGAGGAAUCACAUGGGAAGGUGAGCGAGAGAGGGUGAGAGCCCCGUACUCGAAAUGAGAGACUGGAGAGAGAUGACACCUGAGUAGGGCGGGACACGAGAAAUCCUGUCUGAAUCAGCCGGGACCAUCCGGCAAGGCUAAAUACGAGAGAGUGACCGAUAGUGAACCAGUACCGUGAGGGAAAGGUGAAAAGAACCCCGGGAGGGGAGUGAAAGAGAACCUGAAACCCUAUGUUUACAAGCAGACAAAGCACGUUAAGGUGCGAUGUCGUACUUUUUGUAGAACGGUCCGGCGAGUUAUUUUAUAUGGCAAGGUUAAGUACUUAAGGUACGAAGCCGAAGAGAAAUCGAGUCUGAAAAGGGCGAAUAAGUCAUAUGAAAUAGACCCGAAACCGGGUGACCUAUCCAUGGUCAGGUUGAAGCUUGAGUAAAAUCAAGUGGAGGACCGAACCCAUAAGCGUUAAAAAGCUUCGGGAUGAACUGUGGAUAGCGGAGAAAUUCCAAUCGAACUCGGAGAUAGCUGGUUCUCCUCGAAAUAGUUUUAGGACUAGCCUUGUUUAGUAGUACGUGGGGGUAGAGCACUGAAGGAGCUAGGGGCCAAACCAGGUUACCGAACUCUAUCAAACUCCGAAUACCAUGUAUGUAAGAACAGGAGUCAGACUGUGGGAGCUAAGUUCCAUGGUCAAAAGGGAAAGAGCCCAGAUCGUCAAUUAAGGUCCCAAAGAUAUAGUUAAGUGGAAAACGAUGUGAUUUUGCGUAAACAACCAGGAUGUUGGCUUAGAAGCAGCCAUUCAUUUAAAGAGUGCGUAAUAGCUCACUGGUCGAGUGAAGUUGCGCGGAAAAUUACCGGGGCUAAACUAUACACCGAAAUUGCGGAUUUAUACGAUAGUAUAAGUGGUAGAGGAGCAUUCUAUAGUAGGACGAAGCAUGACUGAAAAGACAUGUGGACGAGAUAGAAGAGAGAAUGCCGGAAUAAGUAGCGAAAGCAUGGUGAGAAUCCAUGCCAUCGAAAGUCUAAGGUUUCCUGGGGAAGGUUCGUCCGCCCAGGGUAAGUCGGGACCUAAGGUGAGGCCGAAAGGCGUAGCCGAUGGACAGCAGGUAGAAAUUCCUGCACCACCGAUAUACUUAAAAAGCACAAGGGACACAGGAGUGGAAGAGAAGCGAGGAAGAGGAAAGACUCGUAUCGAAAGAUAUAGUGAAAAUAAAGUAACGAAUUCUCAAGAAGCACACUGGCGAGAAAAGCUUGUGAGUCUUGUAUAUAGGUGCCCGUACCGCAAACCGACACAGGUAGAUGAGGAGAGGAUCCUAAGAUGAGCGAGAGAAGCAUUGUUAAGGAACUCGGCAAACUGACCCCGUAACUUCGGAAUAAGGGGUGCUGGAGUAGAAUCCAGUCGCAGAGAAUAGUCCCAAGCAACUGUUUAACAAAAACACAGGUUUCUGCUAAAUCGAAAGAUGAAGUAUAGGAGCUGACGCCUGCCCAGUGCUGGAAGGUUAAGGGGAAAGGUUAGAUUAUAUCAAAGCUUUGAACUGAAGCCCCAGUGAACGGCGGCCGUAACUAUAACGGUCCUAAGGUAGCGAAAUUCCUUGUCAGGUAAGUUCUGACCCGCACGAAAGGUGUAACGAUUUGAGCACUGUCUCGACAACACGCCCGGUGAAAUUGAAGAACCAGUGAAGAUACUGGUUACCCGCAACAGGACGGAAAGACCCCAUGGAGCUUUACUGCAGCUUAAUAUUGGGAUUCGGUAUUGUAUGUACAGGAUAGGAGGGAGACUAAGAAGCUAGCACGCCAGUGUUGGUGGAGUCGAUGGUGGGAUACCUCUCUUAUAAUACUGAAUUUCUAACCUACUUCCGUGAUCCGGAAGAGGGACAUUGUUAGGCGGGCAGUUUGACUGGGGCGGUCGCCUCCGAAAGAGUAACGGAGGCGCUCAAAGGUCUUCUCAGAAUGAUUGGAAACCAUUCAAAGAGUGUAAAGGCAAAAGAAGGCUUGACUGCGAGAGUGACAACUCGAGCAGGUACGAAAGUAGGACUUAGUGAUCCGGUGGUAACAAGUGGGAGUGCCAUCGCUUAACGGAUAAAAGCUACCCUGGGGAUAACAGGCUUAUCUCCCCCAAGAGUUCACAUCGACGGGGAGGUU